UUUUCCUCAUCGAUUCUUCCCUGUCUCUUUAUCUUCAGAGGGAGAUGCAAUGCAGGGCUACCAGCAUGUCCGCAGGCCUGCCAGGGCCUUGGUGGGGGUGAGGAACCGUCAGUUGUUGUCGGACCGCAGGGUAGACGGUCUGUUGGAGCUGUGGCUGGUGCUGCCAGACUACAACAAGCAGUGCUUGAUCUACCCUGCCCAACACCAGGAGAGGAUAGUUUGGGGGCGGUUCAAGGCACUGAAGGGGAAGGACUCUUUCCAACAUUGUCUUCUCGGACUGAACUCGGGUCCUGCUAAUUGGCCAGCCAUCUUCUGUUUGGUGGAGGCCAUUUGCAGUCAUCUCUGUCAGAUCCAUCCCAGCACCACACAGUCUGCCGGGGUCAAGAAGAGCAGGUCAUUCUGGCAGACUACGUGGCCAUCAGGGAGGCAGUGCUGAACAGCCCGAGGUUGAUGGCUCAGACAAACCUUCAGCUCUUUGAGCUGAAUUAAAGGACCAUCAGUCAGUGGUACUCCUGGCGUCAGAGGGAGAGGAUGGUGCUGCAGAAGGGAUUGGGGCUCGCUCCUGCCCCCCAGCGUCAACGCCCAGCCCCUCCCUGCAGCCAAGCCCCUUCACUACCAGCGGGAGGGGAUACAGGCACCUUUCCCUACACCGACACCUCCGGUCCCACGCCAGGCCACCCAGCAAGGACGGCCUGCCCAUUCUGCCAGCUCACUUGGAUCAACAACCCCCCAGCACUUCCCGGCCCUAUAGUGAUGGCAAAGCCAUUUAUUUUCAGGGUUGAACUGAUGGCACCUGCUCAACAUAUUGGCUCAUGGCAGACAUUGAACAACUCCUUCAGAUUGCUAUCAAAGACUAUGUAUUUUGGAUCUUGCACACACACUCUUCGAUAGUAUAUCUUGGCUCGAACUGUGACGAUUGUGAUUCUGAGCACUCCGGUUCUCACAGAGAGUUCUGGUCUUCACUGAUCUCACUCUCCGUCAGCUCCAUCUGUGGUGUAUAGGGGCAGGACUCGGUAGUAUACUGAUGGUAUUCAUCGUAAUCUAGCUGGGCCCCGAGCUCUUUAGUGAUGGUCCCAGUGGACCUCUUCACCACAACACAGGAACACUCUGGCACCCAGGGGUCAGUUUGGAUGUACUAACCCUUCUUUCCUGUUGGUAGAAAACAGUUAAGGCAUCUAUUAGGCUAUAGGUAUAUUCAAGAAUCACUGUGUAUGGUCCAAAAUGGCCUCCGGGAUGACAGAUUGUGUCUUGAAAUAAACUAUAGCCUUAUGAAUAACAUGGAUUUGCUUGUGCCUCCUCCUGCAGUCUCCUCCAGGAUGAAAAACUUUUUCAGGGAUGUAGAUGUCACCCUGAAAACAAACAAAUGUUUUGUUAAGACGACUCAACCCAGAUAUAGAAGUUGGUGUUAACAAGCUACCUUUCUUGUAUGCUUUGUCAACACACACAGACAUUUUUCCCCCCAGCAAACAUUAUCUAUGUCAACUUCAGUCCAGCUGAAUAAAGAGGGGCUAACAAAACAUUCAAAGAACAAAUGUCAACUAAAUGUAUUACAGUAACAUUACUUGACUAUCUGAGGUGGAAGCUAGCUACAGAGUAACUAACUACCUAAUAACAGGGCUACAUAGAGAAACUGUGUUGCAAUUUUAGGUGCAUUCGAGUUACUUGCUAACGCUAGUUGCUGGGGGGGGGUUACACAAAACAUUUCAGACGCAAUUAACGUAAACUCACGGCAUUCCGUACAAAUGUGCGCAAC